UACGUAGGUCCCGAGCGUUGUCCUGAUUUAUUGGGCGUAAAGCGAGCGCAGGUGGUUUAUUAAGUCUGGUGUAAAAGGCAGUGGCUCAACCAUUGUAUGCAUUGGAAACUGGUAGACUUGAGUGCAGGAGAGGAGAGUGGAAUUCCGUGUGUAGCGGUGAAAUGCGUAGAUAUAUGGAGGAACACCGGUGGCGAAAGCGGCUCUCUGGCCUGUAACUGACACUGAGGCUCGAAAGCGUGGGGAGCAAACAGG
rnacentral:rRNA from 1 species